rnacentral:rRNA from 1 species
UGGGGAAUUUUGGACAAUGGGCGCAAGCCUGAUCCAGCCAUUCCGCGUGCAGGAUGAAGGCCCUCGGGUUGUAAACUGCUUUUGUACGGAGCGAAAAGGCUCUCUCUAAUACAGGGAGCUCAUGACGGUACCGUAAGAAUAAGCACCGGCUAACUACGUGCCAGCAGCCGCGGUAAUACGUAGGGUGCAAGCGUUAAUCGGAAUUACUGGGCGUAAAGCGUGCGCAGGCGGUUAUGUAAGACAGAUGUGAAAUCCCCGGGCUCAACCUGGGAACUGCAUUUGUGACUGCAUAGCUAGAGUACGGCAGAGGGGGAUGGAAUUCCGCGUGUAGCAGUGAAAUGCGUAGAUAUGCGGAGGAACACCGAUGGCGAAGGCAAUCCCCUGGGCCUGUACUGACGCUCAUGCACGAAAGCGUGGGGAGCAAACA